GUCAGCAUGGUGUGGUGGUUUCAGCAUUGACUAUGACUCAGUAGACCAGGGUUUGAAUCCCUGCUUGGUCACG